rnacentral:rRNA from 1 species
UACAGAGGUCUCAAGCGUUGUUCGGAUUCAUUGGGCGUAAAGGGUGCGUAAGUGGCGUCGUAAGUCGGGUGUGAAAUUUCGGAGCUUAACUCCGAAACUGCAUUCGAUACUGCGGUGCUUGAGGACUGGAGAGGAGACUGGAAUUUACGGUGUAGCAGUGAAAUGCGUAGAGAUCGUAAGGAAGACCAGUGGCGAAGGCGGGUCUCUGGACAGUUCCUGACACUGAGGCACGAAGGCCAGGGGAGCAAACGGG